GGCCCCAUAGCUCAGCAGUUAGAAUGCUGGUCUUGUAAGCCAGAGAUUGUGAGUUCAAAUCUCACUGGGGUCU